rnacentral:rRNA from 1 species
AUACGUAGGGUGCAAGCGUUAAUCGGAAUUACUGGGCGUAAAGCGUGCGCAGGCGGUUUUGUAAGACAGUGGUGAAAUCCCCGGGCUCAACCUGGGAACUGCCAUUGUGACUGCAAGGCUGGAGUGCGGCAGAGGGGGAUGGAAUUCCGCGUGUAGCAGUGAAAUGCGUAGAUAUGCGGAGGAACACCGAUGGCGAAGGCAAUCCCCUGGGACUGAAGUGACGCUCAUGCACGAAAGCGUGGGGAGCAAACAGGAUUAGAUACCCUGGUAGUCCACGCCCUAAACGAUUUCAACUGGUUGUUGGGGAUUUAUUUUCUCAGUAACGAAGCUAACGCGUGAAGUUGACCGGCUGGGGAGUACGGCCGCAAGGUUAAAACUCAAAUGAAUUGACGGGG